CCUGAAUUUUCAUAUUAGAUUAAAGUAUUAGCAUUCAUUCCAUACCUAAGAUCCAAGAACGUUAUUUAUAUAAUUUGUUUGCACAUACAAAAUAUGAAUAAGUAGUGAAAUGGAAGAUUAACUCUUUAUGGCACUUAUACUACCUUGUAUUUUUAGCAUUGUUCACAUGGCUCCCCAUUUCUCUCAGUGCCCAGAAACAGAGACCCUAAAGCGCUGAUCAGGCUUGGAUUUUUGCACCUGUCACUGCUCAAAUCAAAGAAGACAGCAUAUAUGGUAUAAUAUGCCAGUGGAGAGCGAAGCGGUCCGAUCUCAGCACACUUAACCAAUUAUAUGUAAGUAACUGCAGAACAGAAACAAGAAUGGCGCAAAAACCCAUUAAGCACCAGCAAUUAAGCAUUCCGCAAUUGGCUCAAUUGAUCAAAGGAUGUCUGGGGUUAAUGUGAUUGCAUUUUAAAUGGCAAUUUGCGAUGAAAAUUUCAAGAACUUCUGCCAUAUUAACAGCGAUACACGUUUUAUUUGCGCGUAAUUAAAACUUUUUUGCCAACCGCAGUGGAGAAAGGGAAAUUCAUCAGGAGCUUAAUCGAUUUUUUAUUUCUUUGGGCAGGAAACUACGCAGAACACACCAACCCCCUUGUUUAUGGCUAAUGGAUUUUAUCGAUUGCGGUGUAUUUUUACUUUUAUCUGUCAAUUAUUAAAUCGAUAGCAA